rnacentral:rRNA from 1 species
GACGAACGCUGGCGGCGUGCUUAACACAUGCCAGUCGAGCGGAAAGGCCCUUCGGGGUACUCGAGCGGCGAACGGGUGAGUAACACGUGAGUAACCUGCCCCAGACUUUGGGAUAACCCUCGGAAACGGGGGCUAAUACCGGAUACGACACAGCUUCGCAUGGGGUCUGUGUGGAAAGUUUUUCGGUUUGGGAUGGGCUCGCAGCCUAUCAGCUUGUUGGUGGGGUGACGGCCUACCAAGGCGACGACGGGUAGCCGGCCUGAGAGGGCGACCGGCCACACUGGGACUGAGACACGGCCCAGACUCCUACGGGAGGCAGCAGUGGGGAAUAUUGCACAAUGGGCGGAAGCCUGAUGCAGCGACGCCGCGUGAGGGAUGACGGCCUUCGGGUUGUAAACCUCUUUCAGCAGGGACGAAGCGUAAGUGACGGUACCUGCAGAAGAAGCGCCGGCCAACUACGUG